UAUCUUUGAUUUUAUUGUGAUUUAGGCUGAACUCCUACUCGAACUUCCAAGAGAACAGUUGCUCGAUUGGAUCUUCCAGUGUUUAUCUGAACUUUAUGCUUCGCUACCGGCCUUGAUAAAGUAUUAGCAUCACUAGUAUACACAGACAUGUACAAACUAGACAUAGAGAAAUGCAAAUUCAUUGGUGCAGUAUAGAUACCACUUGCUGGGGGAGUUGAUCGAACAAGAUGCGUUCACUAUAACUAGUUCAUAAGUUUUUUUUGAAGGACAUAUAUCGAGUAGAGAGCUCUUUGGGAGCCUUGAUGAAGUAUAUAAAGUAAUCGGCUCGGCAUUGAGAUUUUAUAGGGCAAGGUUAGUCAGGAAAAACAUGUUGAAAAGAAAUUUGAUUUGUCCGCAGAUAUAUAUGCUUUGUUGUCAUUCAUUCAUAUAGAUUACAGCUCUGUGCUCUCCAUCAAGAAGACGUUUUGUUUGAUUAAUAGGGCAAACAUUCAAAUGCUCCCUAAGUUAUAUGUUGAUAAUAAAAUACACAACUCUUAAACUUCAA